UUUAAUUUUAAGUUGAAAAUAUAAUAACAUCUUUCAUAUUUCAUUCUUGCAUUUACAUCAAUUAGAUCAGUGUUGCAAAUAACAAAAAAAAAUCUCCACUCAAGUUUACUCCAUCAAAAGAACAUGUUUUUCUACGUCUUUAUUACUUUAUUGGUUUCGACUUUGGUAUUUAACGAUCGAAAAUAUUAUGUUUUCUGUACCGACAAAAACGAAACAAUUAAUAAGCUUUUAGAAUCUCCAGGAUGGGACGAGAUUAGCGGCUUGGUUCGAUUCCCUGGUACAACAGGCAAUAACUCUUUCUCUAGGGAGAGACGUCGCUUGACCGAAAAAAAGAGUAGAAAAAGAGCACGGGAAUACAACAAGGCGCAUUCGACAGAUGAAGAAAAUGUACAAGCCAAUCAAAUGGAUCUUGUCAAAAACGAACAGUUUUCUAUUGAAUAUUUUGGUGAUUUAAUAAAUUCCUGGCAUAUAGUUGAAUCUGUGAUAAGACAAUUUCAAAAAAAUUGGUAUAUGUUUGACUACAUGUAUGAAGCGUGGCGGUUUUUAAAACGACUGGCUCCGCAAGAAUAUUUUGAAACGCAUUUACCCGCAUUAGUAGAUUUAGACAGCACUUGUUAUUUUAUAAAGAUAGAUCAGCUGACUUGAGACCAGUUCUGUCCGAUUACCUGGGGGAACACGAUUAUUGCUACAUAGAUAAAAUAAGCGAUUUACACAGGAGACUUAACCUACUUCUCAGUUCUACGCCUACCCAAUCGUUGGUUGAUUUGUUAAACAACUAUUGUAUUAUACCAGAGUACGAUAAACCGUGGAUCGUUGAAGAAAAAGAUGUAUACACAUAUUUUUAUGGAAAAAAAGGGAAUCGAUAUUAUCCUACGAAGGAAGACUUAUUUGAUGUCGUACAAAAAUUGGAGAUCAAAAUUGAUUUGCUUGUAAAUGAUGUGACUAAAAAUUACUUUACAGACUUGGGGUUCGUUUUUAAUUUCACGGACUAGAGACUACAACAAACAUACAGUUUUUUAAAAAAAAUUUAACUCAAUUUAGUGUUCAAUUGCAUUACAAAACACGUUAUAAAUAUUUGUUAUACUUUAAUCUCAAAAUACAAAAUUAUAAUUAUCCAUAGUUCUGUAGUAUCAUAUUAUAAAAUAUAUAUUUAAUAAAAAAAGUUAAUA